rnacentral:rRNA from 1 species
UACAGAGGGUGCUAGCGUUGUUCGGAAUUACUGGGCGUAAAGCGCGUGUAGGCGGCCCUGCAAGUCGGAUGUGAAAUCCCACGGCUCAACCGUGGAAGUGCAUUCGAAACUGCAGGGCUAGAGUCCUGGAGAGGAAGGUGGAAUGCUUGGUGUAGAGGUGAAAUUCGUAGAUAUCAAGCGGAACACCGGUGGCGAAGGCGGCCUUCUGGACAGUGACUGACGCUGAGACGCGAAAGCGUGGGGAGCAAACAGG